CCCUUAGAUGUUCUGGGCCGCACACGCGCUACACUGAAGGAGGCAGCGCGUACUCCUGGAUCGAAAGAUUUGGGUAACCCGCGAAUCUCCUUCGUGCUAGGGAUUGAGGUUUGCAAUUAUCCUUCAUGAACGAGGAAUUCCCAGUAAGUGCAAGUCAUAAGCUUGCGCUGACUACGUCCCUGCCCUUUGUACACACCGCCCGUCGCUACUACCGAUUGAAUGAUUUAGUGAGGACUUCGGACUGGGACCGAUGCGGCUUUCGGGCUGCGUCGGUAUUCUGGAAAGAUGUCCAAACUGUAUCAUUUAGAGGAAGUAAAAGUCGUANCA
rnacentral:rRNA from 1 species